GCUGGACAUGGUGGCACAUGCCUGUAAUCCCAGCAACUAAGGGGGCUGAGGCAGGAGGAUCAUGAAUUCAAAAGCCAGCCUCAGCAACUUAUUGAGGUCCUGUCUCUA
rnacentral:sRNA from 1 species